GUGCUUGCUUCUGCAGCACAUAUACUAAAAUUGGAACGAUACAGAGAUUAGCAUGGCCCCUGAAUAAAGAUGACACGCAUAUUUGGGAAGCGUUCCACAUUUAA
ensembl:snRNA U6 U6 spliceosomal RNA